GUCAGUGUGUGUGUGUGUGUGUGAAUGCUUACUGGACGCCCUGUCCGAGUCUUUACUGUGAACUGUGAUGAAUUCAUUGGAAACCACAUGCGUGUAAACACAGCGGGUUGCACAACACGUGUAGUGCAUUUACUGUAAACUGCGGCUCAGGACGCUCUGAAUGGAGUCCAGGAAGCCCGUAAUUUUACAUGUGUCCUUUGCACCACGCUUGUGACUCGGGUGGAAAUGGGUGUCAAAGGGAGGGGCGGAGCCAGCUAAUGGUUACACUGAGUUAAACAAAUGAGCAGAGGGGGCGAGUCACAGAGGGGGUGGAGCCAGAGCCACAAACAGACACACCCACACAAGCAAAGUGAUUAUCUCAGUGGAAAAAUGGUCCAGAUGUCUCCUGCAUCCCUGCAGAUUCAUGUUCUCUUUUUUUUUAAGUAUCACAGCAGGAGUGGUCCGGAAUGACCUAGAUCUGUAAAGGAGCGACGGCGGGACGUGCUGAGACGCUUACAGACAGAAAUACUGCUUAUUUUAGUGUUCCACAUGCAAUUUUACGUAAAAAGUUUUUAUUAGACUCACUGUAAUUCAUUGUUGGUCAUAUUUAGUAUUCAACCAAUAAAGGGCAUGAUAUCAGCUGCUGUAAUGUCUAUAUACUGUAUGUAAUACAACAAAAUCACAAGAGACAGGCACAAAAUUUAUGCAUUUACUUGUAAUUAUUAAAUCAUUCACUUAAAAUGUAUAAUUCGCUUUCAAGUCAAAAU
ensembl:lncRNA